rnacentral:rRNA from 1 species
AUGGGCGGGCCAAAUAUGAGCUCGCCUUCAGCGAGACAUAUCAGCGCCCAUACUUCCAAGCCGAGCCGUUGUUCUCUUCCUUUUUCCCUUCUCGGUUUCUCCUCUCCCAUUCAGCCUGCCCACGCUCUCCUCCCUCGCCGCCCCCUUUCCCCCCUCUACCGCGCUCUGCCGCGAACCCUAGCGAGGAUCCCAAACACCAUGGACGCCUGGAGCGGGGUCUCGGCGGACGCCGCCGCCGCGGGGGCGAACGGCUUGGGUGGCGGGUGGAGGGCAGACGUGGAGGCCGCUGCGGCGACGAGCGGCCUGGGUGGCUGGGGUGAGGCCUCCGCCGAGCUGCUGGAUGUCGAGGCAUAUGUCGCGCCGUACUCUGGCCGGACCCGCUUGGCGCGCCUCAUGGCCAUCUCGUACAAGUGCGGGGUGGAGGCGAUCCAGUUCGAGGCGCUGCGGGUGGCGCACGACGAGGCCAAGGCUGGCGAGGACACGAUGUUCUACCUCUACGUCGUCCGCGAGAUCGACGGCCGCCUCGGCCAGGGCUACCUCCUCGACCAGGCCUGGGUCGACUCCGUCAACCGACGCGCCGAGCAGCGCAAGGAGACGCUCCUGAGCCAACUCCAAAUCUACCAGAGCAACCAGAUCAAAGAGAGCAUCAGAAUGGGUUAUAACCAGAUUGGCGACUUCUAUUUUGCUCAUGGCCACCUUUCAGAAGCCUUUAAAAGCUAUAUUGCGACAGAAGAACACUGCAGUACUUCUGAGCACGCAAUCCAGAUGUGUAUGAAUGCUAUACAUGUCAACCUUGAAUUGUGUGAUUUUGCCCGUGUGCUCAAUUAUGCAAGCAAGGCAAAGGGGUCUCAAGAUCCACUCAGUCCGAUCACUACUGCGAAGCUGCAAGCGGUGGAGGGAUUGGGCUAUCUUGGCCAACAGCAAUAUAAACUUGCUGCCCUACAGUUUAUCGAGACAGGACCUGAACUAGGAAGCAACUAUUCUGAAGUCAUAGCCCCGCAAGACGUCGCUACGUAUGGAGCCCUCUGUGCUCUUGCAUUGUUUAAUUACACUGAAAUCAAGACAAAAGUUGUGGAGAAUGUUCAAUUUGGAUCUUUUCUGGACCUUGUUCCUGAAGUUAAAGAUUUGGUUAACGCCUUCUAUUACAGUCAGCGUAACACAUGCAUGGAGGUUCUUGAGAGACUUAAGCAAAGACUAAUGAUGGACCUCCAUCUUGGUCAUCAUAUGGACUUUCUUUGCUUGCUCAUUUCCCAGAAAUUGGAAUUUAUGCCCUCCACCGUUUGUGACUUCUCCACACUCUAUGACUUGCUCAUGAAGACUCCGAGCCCCAUCAAUGAGGAACAACCUCGUGUUAAUGCUAACGGGCCUCAGCUGAAUUCGGCUUCUAAUCUAAUACUGCCUGAAAAUUUUAAUGAUGAGACACUUCUCGCUGAAUCAUCCCAUUACAAGUUUCUCAAGUCAAAAGAUCUAUUUGACUCACUUGGGAGAAGAAAACAUAACUGGGUUUCUACUUGUCAGGCACGAGCUUUGCUCCAGAAUGCUAUAUUGUUUGUGGUUGAUGAUUUCGACAGUGAGGCAAGGGAUGCAAGAAGAACUGAUGGUCAAGUACUUAUGGUAUCAGAUGCAAGAUUCAGUAUGUUGAAAGUUGUAUUUGGCAGUUACACCACCACAACCAAGCCAUUAAAAGAGAAGCUCAAGAGCAAAGAAGAUGCUGAGAUUGUUCGGUUUGAAAUGAGAGGAGACAUUUGGGCGAGGAGAAGGAUGUGCUUGCGGGAUAACCCUGACUUCCACUUGCUACAGUGGAGAAAGACUUCAGGACUCAAGCGAGCGCAAGUGAGGCAACAAGAGGAGGCGUCAUCGCAGGACAGCAAUAGCAACAGACUCCUUGAACAAGUGCAACUGACCGUGAAGAACCUUGUGGAGGAGCUGAAAAUCAACACUAGAGCAGUGACGGAGUCAAGUCAGGCAAUUGCAAAGUCAUGCCAAGAUGUGGUGGAGGCCUGUAAGUUGACCGUGGCCAGCACCAGCACGGGUGCCGGUGUAGUGAACUGA